rnacentral:rRNA from 1 species
GACGAACGCUGGCGGCGUGCCUAAUACAUGCAAGUAAAACGCUGAAGCUUGGUGCUUGCACCGAGCGGAUGAGUUGCGAACGGGUGAGUAACGCGUAGGUAACCUGCCUGGUAGCGGGGGAUAACUAUUGGAAACGAUAGCUAAUACCGCAUAAGAGUAGAUGUUGCAUGACAUUUGCUUAAAAGGUGCAAUUGCAUCACUACCAGAUGGACCUGCGUUGUAUUAGCUAGUUGGUGAGGUAACGGCUCACCAAGGCAACGAUACAUAGCCGACCUGAGAGGGUGAUCGGCCACACUGGGACUGAGACACGGCCCAGACUCCUACGGGAGGCAGCAGUAGGGAAUCUUCGGCAAUGGACGGAAGUCUGACCGAGCAACGCCGCGUGAGUGAAGAAGGUUUUCGGAUCGUAAAGCUCUGUUGUAAGAGAAGAACGAGUGUGAGAGUGGAAAGUUCACACUGUGACGGUAUCUUACCAGAAAGGGACGGCUAACUACGUG